AAAUUGAAGAGUUUGAUCAUGGCUCAGAUUGAACGCUGGCGGCAGGCCUAACACAUGCAAGUCGAACGGUAACAGGAAGCAGCUUGCUGCUUUGCUGACGAGUGGCGGACGGGUGAGUAAUGUCUGGGAAACUGCCUGAUGGAGGGGGAUAACUACUGGAAACGGUGGCUAAUACCGCAUAACGUCGCAAGACCAAAGAGGGGGACCUUCGGGCCUCUUGCCAUCAGAUGUGCCCAGAUGGGAUUAGCUAGUUGGUGAGGUAACGGCUCACCAAGGCGACGAUCCCUAGCUGGUCUGAGAGGAUGACCAGCCACACUGGAACUGAGACACGGUCCAGACUCCUACGGGAGGCAGCAGUGGGGAAUAUUGCACAAUGGGCGCAAGCCUGAUGCAGCCAUGCCGCGUGUAUGAAGAAGGCCUUAGGGUUGUAAAGUACUUUCAGC
rnacentral:rRNA from 2 species